rnacentral:ncRNA from 1 species
CGGGGACCCGCGACCUCCCCGUCAGAUGGAUAUCCAUCCAAGUGCUCGC